AUGACAAUUACGUGGUGACAUUAUUUGAGUGGCAACGAUAGAAUAUACUAGAUUGAACAUGGAAUUAUUUAGUAACAAUUUCUGGUAACACUACGUUUGGAAAGCUUUUUCUCGUCAUGGCAGACACGGAGCCCUCGCGCAGCUGCCCCGCUUGUAUCGUCCAGGAUCUGCACCGAGUUGGAGCAUCGUUUGUGCUUGCAUUGUUGAAAGAACAAUGCAAGCGUAUUGCACUUGCCCGUUGGUGUUAGUGUGAGGCAGCAAGUCAUCUGGCUGCGUGUAGUGGCCACCACUACAGUGUGUGCAGUGGCAUCGUGAGAUGUGAGGCAGCGAGUCAUCUGCCCCAGUUUGGUUGCUGCAUGUGGUGAUGCGUGUAGUUAUGUUGUGAUCGCCGUCUCUGUGAGGAAGCAAGCGUGUUGCACUUGCCCGUUGGUGGAUUUGUGGGGCAGCAAGUCGUCUGCCCCCAGGAUAGUUGCUGCGUGUAGUGGUGCGUGCGGUGGGCAUCGCUGCCGUCUGUGUGAGUGGGCUGGGCACUGCGCCACAAGUGCUUCGUGGGACAGUGUAGAUGCAUCAGUUUUGUGUGUGAGUGAAUCGCGAAAUCAGUUGCCGAUGGCCUUUUUUGUUGUCAAGCGAGAAGUGUGUUGCUCCAUCUGUAGCCAAAAUCUUUUUCUCGUCAUGGCAGACACGGAGCCCUCGCGCAGCUGCCCCGCUUGUAUCGUCCAGGAUCUGCACCGAGUUGGAGCAUCGUUUGUGCUUGCAUUGUUGAAAGAACAAUGCAAGCGUAUUGCACUUGCCCGUUGGUGUUAGUGUGAGGCAGCAAGUCAUCUGGCUGCGUGUAGUGGCCACCACUACAGUGUGUGCAGUGGCAUCGUGAGAUGUGAGGCAGCGAGUCAUCUGCCCCAGUUUGGUUGCUGCAUGUGGUGAUGCGUGUAGUUAUGUUUCGCCGUCUCUGUGAGGAAGCAAGCGUGUUGCACUUGCCCGUUGGUGGAUUUGUGGGGCAGCAAGUCGUCUGCCCCCAGGAUAGUUGCUGCGUGUAGUGGUGCGUGCGGUGGGCAUCGCUGCCGUCUGUGUGAGUGGGCUGGGCACUGCGCCACAAGUGCUUCGUGGGACAGUGUAGAUGCAUCAGUUUUGUGUGUGAGUGAAUCGCGAAAUCAGUUGCCGAUGGCCUUUUUUGUUGUCAAGCGAGAAGUGUGUUGCUCCAUCUGUAGCCAAAAUCUUUUUCUCGUCAUGGCAGACACGGAGCCCUCGCGCAGCUGCCCCGCUUGUAUCGUCCAGGAUCUGCACCGAGUUGGAGCAUCGUUUGUGCUUGCAUUGUUGAAAGAACAAUGCAAGCGUAUUGCACUUGCCCGUUGGUGUUAGUGUGAGGCAGCAAGUCAUCUGGCUGCGUGUAGUGGCCACCACUACAGUGUGUGCAGUGGCAUCGUGAGAUGUGAGGCAGCGAGUCAUCUGCCCCAGUUUGGUUGCUGCAUGUGGUGAUGCGUGUAGUUAUGUUUCGCCGUCUCUGUGAGGAAGCAAGCGUGUUGCACUUGCCCGUUGGUGGAUUUGUGGGGCAGCAAGUCGUCUGCCCCCAGGAUAGUUGCUGCGUGUAGUGGUGCGUGCGGUGGGCAUCGCUGCCGUCUGUGUGAGUGGGCUGGGCACUGCGCCACAAGUGCUUCGUGGGACAGUGUAGAUGCAUCAGUUUUGUGUGUGUGUGAAUCGCGAAAUCAGUUGCCGAUGGCCUUUUUUUGUUGUCAAGCGAGAAGUGUGUUGCUCCAUCUGUAGCCAAAAUGUAACAGGAACAAUCAGUGCUGGCUGGAGAAAACGCUUUGUUGAUUGGCUGGAGUGUUGAGUGCGUAUCAUCCGAGCAUACGAGAAUGGCAGUGCCACAUUUUCUGUGCGAGUGUGGAUAGAUUGCAGCAUACGUUUUGGAUUCCGACACAUUUAAGGUAUUUGGAUUGGCUGUUGUUCUAGUUUCGAUUAUCUUUUUAAUAUGGUUGUCUUUUCUUUUCAUGUAUGGAUCCAUUUUUAACAUUUUAUUGCUGAGCGUCGCUGGCAUGCCAGAAUGCGAUUUUAAAAGAGUCGCCAUUCUGGUUGCCAGUACGAGAGGCAAUUGUGCGGUUGAUUGGGGCUGGAUUUGGAAGUCUUCUUUCUGGAUUGCGCCUACUCAUAUUGUGUUUUGAAAUCGUCUAGGAGAUUUUGCAGCUCCAUAGAGAUGUCUGCACUUUCAUCUGAGACAUGGUGCUGUACUGGUGAUGUUUGUAUUUGUUGAACGAUUUUAUUUCCUUUGUGCAUUGAAAUAAAAUCGGUUAUAAUAUUGAACAAAUAA